rfam:Sandaracinus amylolyticus strain DSM 53668, complete genome.
GUAAGCCGUGUGCGGGAAAUCCGCACGCACGGUUUGAACGGGGGUCUUGACCAACCGCCGGC